UACAGUGUGGUGCAGUGGUUUGAGUGUUGAACUGUGAUUCUGGAGGCCAGGGUUCAAUUCCCAGCUUGUCC